rnacentral:rRNA from 1 species
GGGCUUGACAUCCCACGAACCUGCCCGAAAAGGUGGGGUGCCCGCAAGGGAGCGUGGAGACAGGUGGUGCAUGGCUGUCGUCAGCUCGUGUCGUGAGAUGUUGGGUUAAGUCCCGCAACGAGCGCAACCCUCACCCCUAGUUGCCACCGGGUUAAGCCGAGCACUCAAGGGGAACUGCCAGCGUCAAGCUGGAGGAAGGCGGGGAUGACGUCAAGUCAUCAUGCCCCUUACGCCCUGGGCUACACACGUGCUACAAUGGCCAGUACAAAGGGACGCGAGACUGCGAAGUGGAGCUAAUCCCAAAAAGCUGGUCUAAGUUCAGAUUGCAGUCUGCAACUCGACUGCAUGAAGGAGGAAUCGCUAGUAAUCGCGUAUCAGCCCGGCGCAGUGAAUACGUUCCCGGGCCUUGUACACACCGCCCGUCACACCACGAAAGCUGUCUGUACUCGAAGUCGCUGAG